rnacentral:misc_RNA from 1 species
GCCCAUCAGGUGGAGAUCAAAUCACGGAUGGAGGAAUUGAAAGUCCUGAAGCAGAUGCUGAGAUUGCAUCUACUGGUUCUGUAAAUGGAGCCCAAAGUGAGGUCCAGUCUAGUUCCUCACCGGUGGUGGUUUCAGGAAUGCAUAAUGGAUAUGGCAGCGAGGAAGAGACCAUGUACUCUGCCGAAACUGCUGAGAGCCGAAACUAUCCGAGUCCUAUAGAGGGAAGAUUUCAGCACGUGGGAAGGAGCCAAAGUUGUGCGAGUCACAAUAGAUGGAAGAAUGCUUCCCAUAGGAACCCAG